CACUUGCUGUCCUAGGGCUCAAGUUGCUCAAUACAUGAAGACUGAGUGAAGAGUGCGCAAUUUCCAGUGUUAUCAUAUUCGUUGUCUUGCUAAGGCAAUCUGCAUCAGAAGAUAAAGGGUUGUUCCAUAUUCUUAUCUAGACGUUCCAGGAUCUUUCCAAUAAUAAGCUCAGUGGUUCUAUCCCAUUUUCUCUUGGUGACUUGGAACAUCUGCUAAAGCUGUGAGUGUCAUAAACUAGAAAACAACGAUCACAUGGAGAUGGGAGAGAAGUCAGAUGUCUACAGCUAUGGAAUUGUUUUACUGGAGUUGCUGACU